UUUUCUCUUGCAAUAUCAUUUUUUUUUUUAGUUUUAUAACAAUUUUCCAUUUUAUUAUUAUUGUCUAAUUUGUUUUCCAGGUCGAUAUGCGUGUGAGGAAAAAUUUGGAGAAAGUAGAAACGUUCUAUUUGGACAACUAAUUGAAGGCUUCCAUUAAUUAUACUAGUCGAUACCCAUCAUGUAAACCAUCCUAAAAGCCUUCAAUAGUUUGGCAGCGAGAAUCGAUUAUUGGGUUUGCCAAAUUGUUGGUGGGAAUCGGUCUUCUUGAGUCGUUUGUGUUGGUUUUGUUGUGAUUGAAAGCUUGAACGAUCCAACGUUUACAGAAAUUGAUUCCUAAAAUCUUAAAAGAGACAAACAAGGUAAGGGUCUUCAGGUUCUUCUCCUUUAUCUGAGACUCCCUGUUUGAGUGGUGAUGGUGGUGGAGGAGGAGGAGGAACUGCUGCUUUAUCUUCUCCUGCUAUAUUGGCCACCAAAACUCCCAGCACGCUACUCAGUGGUGAUUCCAAUUACAUACCUUGUGGAAAUUGAUGUUGUCGUCAAAGGGGACAAAGGACCUGGCUCUUGUGGACCGAAGCCAUGUCAGGGUAUUUCGACAAACAGGUAAGAGGAUGAGAGCCAUGUUGAGUUUGAGAGUCUCUGCAGCCCCUUUGGCUGUCGCCAAGCAAUAUCCCAUGACCUGAAAUGCAGCCCUAUUCCUGUAUUGGUUGAAUUUCCAGGCGAAGAGGCCUGCCAUGGUUAACAGCCACAACAACAAAAUCCAACCCCUCUGCCAAUUCUCUAUUAUGAGACACUGGAGUGUCUCGGUUGCUCUUCGCAUCACAUUCUUUGGCCUCAAGGAACCCAUGUUCUGACUCCAGCCUACACUUGCUGUGCUGAGUGGUCUGCUGUAAUUCAUGUAAGUGUCUCUUUGAAGAAGCAGUGUUUCCAACUGCCAUAACUGAGUAAAAAGAUCGAACAGCAAAAAGAGUCAAAUAAGCAUGUUUUAAUGCUUUAACUUAUCAAAAAAAAAAAAAAAAAAGCAUGUUUUAAUGCUUUAGGAAAAGGAUGAAUUUACCUCAAUGUAUCCGAGGUUUUCUGGAUCAAGCUCUUCCAUAAUCAAUGAAGCGUAUUCUUCGGCCUGUUCCUUCAACUUGGAUAGUUUGUUUGCAGAAGCACUGAGCAUUAUAAGCUGUAAUUACAUGACAUUAAGACAUUAAUUGAAGCUUAGUAAGUACUACACA